GACGAACGCUGGCGGCGUGCCUAAUACAUGCAAGUCGAGCGGACUUAAAAAGUUUGCUUUUUAAGUUAGCGGCGGACGGGUGAGUAACACGUGGGCAACCUGCCUGUAAGACUGGGAUAACUUCGGGAAACCGGAGCUAAUACCGGAUAAUCCUUUCCUACUCAUGUAGGAAAGCUGAAAGACGGUUUACGCUGUCACUUACAGAUGGGCCCGCGGCGCAUUAGCUAGUUGGUGAGGUAACGGCUCACCAAGGCGACGAUGCGUAGCCGACCCGCGAGGGUGAUCGGCCACACUGGGACUGAGACACGGCCCAGACUCCUACGGGAGGCAGCAGUAGGGAAUCUUCCGCAAUGGACGAAAGUCUGACGGAGCAACGCCGCGUGAGUGAUGAAGGUUUUCGGAUCGUAAAACUCUGUUGUUAGGGAAGAACAAGUACGAGAGUAACUGCUCGUACCUUGACGGUACCUAACCAGAAAGCCACGGCUAACUACGUGCCAGCCGCCGCCGUAA
rnacentral:rRNA from 1 species